UUGAAUAAUUCAGUUGGCACUUUGUAUCAAGUGCGAUUGCUGUUUGUUUGUCGAACGAUGAAUCGAGACCGGUAGAAUUGUUCGACGAAACUAUGAACGAUCGGAUUCCACAUUUCACGGUUCCUCUGCCCCGGACACCCCAAAGGAACGACGAAGUUGUCAUCAGGGCUAAGCUAAAGGGUAAUGCAAAAUGGUUCGUGGUAAACUUCUGUCUUCCGCGACCGGAGCAAAUGUCCCGGAAUCAACGGCCCCCGUACAUAGCCUAUCACUUCGGAACGAUUUUCAACGAUGACGGAAGCAGCGAGGUGGUUCAGAAGUGGAAAAACUGCGAAUGGAAAACGGCCACUGUUCUUCAGAACGUUUGGCUGCACGAUCGGAAUCGAAAGUUUGGAUUGAUCUUUCGAUUCGACGAUGAGGUGUUCAAGGUGUUCGCCGACAACUCCCAGCACAGUCCGGAGUACGAGUUUGGACACCAGUUCCCGUAUCAGGAAAUCGAAACGGUCGAACUGCUGGGCGAUUUCGAGUACGUGGAAGAGAUAGCGUUCAGAUACUUUCGAAAGGAGGAUGAGGAUGAAUGUCCAUCUUGUUGAGGGAGGCGGAAUGAAACGAAUCUAGACGACACGCUCGGCGCUUAUUUUAAAUUGUUUUGAAUGCUUUAUUUUUAGAUAAUUAACAAGCAUUGAUAGAUGGGGGUGUAUUGUUUUGAUGGUGAAAAAGAGUCGGUCGUUGUGUUUAUGUAGUAGAUAUACUGUAGCUAUUUACAUGUAGGGGGGACGCGAAAAUCGGCGUGAAAAACCAAAGAAAAGUGAUGAUGCUUAUGCCUUCACAAAUUUUAAAUUCAUAAAAUGAUUUGCUGAUCAUAAAUGAUUCUUUAUCAAAGUGUGAAAAAGAAUCGUCUAGCACUUUGAAACAGUAUUCAAUCCAAUUCUGCAAGCCAAUCAUCAUACAAUCAAUUUCAACGCAAUAAAGUUCUUGAACUGAUAUGCUCAGUGCAGAUAAAUCUACUGAAAGCGAGUACAAGCCUGUCAGUGAGAUCCUGAUCCAAGGAAAGCUUAAAUCCGAUGCCAAAUGGUUCUGUAUCAACUUUUGUCUUCCACCUUGUGGAGAGUUCCCGAAGGGCGUCGAAUUGCCCCCGGCCGUUUACCAUCUGGGGGUAGUUUUUCACACCGGUGACACCGGAAGUAUUGUCCACCGAUGGCAACGCUUCGUUUGGCAACCGGAAGAAGCCGGUGAAACUCGUUGGCCCUAUCGACGCGAAGAGGACUUCCUGUUGGUGUUUCACUUUGAGGAGGAUAGUUUCAAGUUUUGUGCCGAAGGUACUGAUCAGGUGUAUGGAUGUCAGCUGGAUUUACAUGUGCCUUUGGAAACGGUUCAAGACGUGGAGCUGCUCGGUGAUUUGGAAUACGCGGAAACGAUCUUUAAAUACAAAUGAUCAUCAUCGGGUGCUGUGCGUCGGAAUAAUGUAGUGUACGAUAUAUCGUUGGAAUAAUAGUGCAUGAAUAAACAAAUUUAAAAAAAAAAAUCAUAAAAAUAAUAAAGUUUAUUGAAAUUGAAGUUACCAGAAGAUCAAACAUC